AUUGAACGCUGGCGGCAUGCUUUACACAUGCAAGUCGAACGGUAACAGGCCUUCGGGUGCUGACGAGUGGCGAACGGGUGAGUAAUGCAUCGGAACGUGCCCAGAGGUGGGGGAUAACGCAGCGAAAGCUGUGCUAAUACCGCAUGUGAUCUGAGGAUGAAAGCGGAGGACCAGGCAGCAAUGUUUGGCCUCGCGCCUUUGGAGCGGCCGAUGUCAGAUUAGGUAGUUGGUGGGGUAAAGGCCUACCAAGCCGACGAUCUGUAGCUGGUCUGAGAGGACGACCAGCCACACUGGGACUGAGACACGGCCCAGACUCCUACGGGAGGCAGCAGUGGGGAAUUUUGGACAAUGGGCGCAAGCCUGAUCCAGCAAUGCCGCGUGCGGGAAGAAGGCCUUCGGGUUGUAAACCGCUUUUGUACGGAACGAAAAGGCUCUGGCUAAUACCUGGGGCUGAUGACGGUACCGUAAGAAUAAGCACCGGCUAACUACGUG
rnacentral:rRNA from 1 species